UGUAUGUGUGUGUGUGUGUGUGUGUGUGUGUGUGUUUUACAGAUCCAAUAGAGUUAGAAUCAACCAAAAAAGUACUCCAUUCAAUAAAUAUCAAUUUAAAUACACAAUCAAAAUAGCUGUUUUUUUCUUAUUUUCUUUCUAUCCAGCAUCCUUGUCUUUAGAAUAUAACACUUAAACAUUUCCUUGUCUCUAGGCUAAACUGAUAAUAACCAUUCCCACUUCUGUAUUUUACUUAUGAAUGCAUUUUCAAUAAUACAUGGUUAGUAAAAACCUAUUUCAUGUUUACAAACAAAUAAUUUUUUCUUAUUGAUGACAGUGUUCUUCAUCCCUGGGUCUUCAGAUUUGAUAGGUGCUAAGAUCUUGUCCUUAUUAUGUACAAUUCUUGAUACAGUUGUCCGACUCAUUCCAAAAGACCGUGCAAUUGCUACCACUUUUUCACCUUUUUCAUGGCAUUCUAUCAUAUCCAGUUUAUCUUCCAGCAUUAUAGCAUGAUGCUUAGCACUUAUUCUAUGAAUUGUCUUAGGAGCCAUGGGGGCAAAAAAAUAAAGUCACAAAUGAAUGAGAAUGUGAAAGUAGCUGAUAAACAGACGUAGACAAAUCUGAAUUGAAAACAAUCACAGGAAUCACGAGUGACAACGAUGCCUAAUGAUAGAUAUUGGAACUACAGGGCAACAUGAGAUCCAAAAGACCAAUAAGACAACACAGCUGAUUUCAUGAUUUCAUUCACUAAGCUACGCUACUUUAUGGUGUGUAUCUUAACAUUUACUAUACGUAUUUUAAUAUGAUUCUAUAUGCUUUUAUUCUUGUUUAUUGUACAGUAACGUGAUUUUAUGUGCCUUUAAUGGUUUUCUAGUGAUUUUACGAUUCCAAUAUUUGUGGCGGACAGACGUGAAAUCGAGCGAAAUGACUUGACUUGAUUUUUAUUUUUCCACCGAGAACAACUUAAAUUGAAAUGACUUAAGCUGAGGUACGCCUCUAUGUGUAUGUGUGUGUGUGUGUUUAUAUAUGUAUAUAUAUAAAU